rnacentral:rRNA from 1 species
GACGAACGCUGGCGGAGGGAGGAACAAAGGCAAGUCGAACGGAAAGGCCCUGCUUUUGUGGGGUGCUCGAGUGGCGAACGGGUGAGUAACACGUGAGUAACCUGCCCUUGACUUUGGGAUAACUUCAGGAAACUGGGGCUAAUACCGGAUAGGAGCUCCUGCUGCAUGGUGGGGGUUGGACAGUUUCGGCGGUUGGGGAUGGACUCGCGGCUUAUCAGCUUGUUGGUGGGGUAGUGGCUUACCAAGGCUUUGACGGGUAGCCGGCCUGAGAGGGUGACCGGCCACAUUGGGACUGAGAUACGGCCCAGACUCCUACGGGAGGCAGCAGUGGGGAAUAUUGCACAAUGGGCGGAAGCCUGAUGCAGCAACGCCGCGUGCGGGAUGACGGCCUUCGGGUUGUAAACCGCUUUCGCCUGUGACGAAGCGUGAGUGACGGUAAUGGGUAAAGAAGCACCGGCUCCCUACGUG